rnacentral:rRNA from 1 species
UGUUACCUACGGGAGGCAGCAGUGGGGAAUAUUGGGCAAUGGGCGCAAGCCUGACCCAGCAACGCCGCGUGAAGGAAGAAGGCUUUCGGGUUGUAAACUUCUUUUAUGAGGGACGAAACAAAUGACGGUACCUCAUGAAUAAGCCACGGCUAACUACGUGCCAGCAGCCGCGGUAAUACGUAGGUGGCAAGCGUUAUCCGGAUUUACUGGGUGUAAAGGGCGUGUAGGCGGGAAAGCAAGUCAGAUGUGAAAACCAUGGGCUCAACCUGUGGCCUGCAUUUGAAACUGUUUUUCUUGAGUACUGG